AAGCUAGACAUUGAUUCAGCUUACCUGAAUGUGUUUCUGCAAAAAUUUAGAAGAAUCUGGUAAUAGUAAAGCCAUAUAA
rnacentral:snoRNA from 1 species